GCGGGCUGCUGAUAAGGGCGUCUACUUGUAGAGCCUGACCUCCACUUCUAACACUGUGCACUUGAUGGCGAGGUAAUGGAACUUUCGAGUGAAACUACCUUGCGGCUUCAUUUUAAACAUUAGUCAAAGUAUGUCAUGAAAUAUAAAAACAAAAAAAAACUUUCAACAACGGAUCUCUUGGCUCUCGCAUCGAUGAAGAACGCAGCGAAAUGUGAUAAGUAAUGUGAAUUGCAGAAUUCAGUGAAUCAUCGAAUCUUUGAACGCACCUUGCGCUCCCUGGUAUUCCGGGGAGCAUGCCUGUUUGAGUGUCAUGAACUCUUCAACCCACCAGUUUCUAGUAGACUGCGUUGGUGUUUGGAUUUUGAGCGUUGCUAGUCUGACUAGCUCGUUCGUAAUAUAUUAGCAUCUCUAAUUCGAAUUCGGAUUGACUCAGUGUAAUAGACUAUUCGCUGAGGACACUUUUAUUAGUGGCCGUACUAGAACCAGUAGAAGCUUCCAACUAUUGUAGUCAACUUUAAUUUAGACCUCAGAUCAGGCAGGAUUACCCGCUGAACUUAAGCAUAUCAA
rnacentral:rRNA from 1 species